rnacentral:pre_miRNA from 1 species
UUCUUACUCCCUCCGUCCGAAAAAACUUGUCCCAAGCUUGUCCCUCAAAUGGAUGUAUCUAGCACUAACUUGGUGCUAGAUACAUCUAUUUGAGGGACAAGCUUUUUCGGACGGAGGGAGUAUUUA